GAUGAACGCUGGCGGCGUGCCUAAUACAUGCAAGUCGAGCGAACAGACGAGGAGCUUGCUCCUCUGACGUUAGCGGCGGACGGGUGAGUAACACGUGGAUAACCUACCUAUAAGACUGGGAUAACUUCGGGAAACCGGAGCUAAUACCGGAUAAUAUAUUGCACCGCAUGGUUCAAUAGUGAAAGACGGUUUUGCUGUCACUUAUAGAUGGAUCCGCGCCGCAUUAGCUAGUUGGUAAGGUAACGGCUUACCAAGGCAACGAUGCGUAGCCGACCUGAGAGGGUGAUCGGCCACACUGGAACUGAGACACGGUCCAGACUCCUACGGGAGGCAGCAGUAGGGAAUCUUCCGCAAUGGGCGAAAGCCUGACGGAGCAACGCCGCGUGAGUGAUGAAGGUCUUCGGAUCGUAAAACUCUGUUAUUAGGGAAGAACAAAUGUGUAAGUAACUAUGCACGUCUUGACGGUACCUAAUCAGAAAGCCACGGCUAACUACGUG
rnacentral:rRNA from 1 species